UCUUGGCAGGCAAGGCGAGCUAUCGUUGAUACGGUGGAGGAUAUCACUCAGGAUAGCUAGGAAGGGAGAAAUUCCAAUUCCACCUGCUACCAAAAUGAGAUUUUCAUACGUUAAGUGGUAUGGUGAUUCAUGUCCAUAAGGACCUUCAACAGAAGCUGUAAUUUUCCUGUUAUGCAGCAAAAGAGGCUCCGUCUCAGAUUCUUCUACAGAAAGAUUCAAGAUGUUUCCCUUCAGUUUUUCAGUCCAAUCUCCAAGAACCUUUAUGAGAAUCGCAAGAUGAUGUUUGCCAUCAAGGGGACUAGAAG
rnacentral:misc_RNA from 1 species